GUCCAGACUCCUACGGGAGGCAGCAGUGGGGAAUCUUGCGCAAUGGGCGGAAGCCUGACGCAGCGACGCCGCGUGCGGGACGAAGGCCUUCGGGUCGUAAACCGCUUUCAGCAGGGACGAGGCCCUCACGGUGACGGUACCUGCAGAAGAAGCCCCGACUAACUCCGUGCCAGCAGCCGCGGUAAUACGGAGGGUGCAAGCGUUGUCCGGAAUCAUUGGGCGUAAAGAGUUCGUAGGCGGCAUGUAAAGUCAGGUGUUAAAGGCGCAGGCUCAACCUGUGUAUGGCACUUGAUACUUGCAAGCUGGAAUGCGGUAGAGGUAAAGGGAAUUCCUGGUGUAGCGGUGAAAUGCUUAGAUAUCAGGAGGAACAUCGGUGGCGUAAGCGCUUUACUGGGCCGUAAUUGACGCUGAGGAACGAAAGCCAGGGUAGCAAAUGGGAUUAGAUACCCCCGUAA
rnacentral:rRNA from 1 species